rnacentral:rRNA from 1 species
GACGACGCUGGCGGCGUGCUUAACACAUGCAAGUCGAGCGGAAAGGCCCUUCGGGGUACUCGAGCGGCGAACGGGUGAGUAACACGUGAGUAACCUGCCCCAGACUUUGGGAUAACCCUCGGAAACGGGGGCUAAUACCGGAUACGACACAGCUUCGCAUGGGGUCUGUGUGGAAAGUUUUUCGGUUUGGGAUGGGCUCGCGGCCUAUCAGCUUGUUGGUGGGGUGAUGGCCUACCAAGGCGACGACGGGUAGCCGGCCUGAGAGGGCGACCGGCCACACUGGGACUGAGACACGGCCCAGACUCCUACGGGAGGCAGCAGUGGGGAAUAUUGCACAAUGGGCGGAAGCCUGAUGCAGCGACGCCGCGUGAGGGAUGACGGCCUUCGGGUUGUAAACCUCUUUCAGCAGGGACGAAGCGUAAGUGACGGUACCUGCAGAAGAAGCGCCGGCCAACUACGUG